GAGGAUUGGAGAGAGGAGAAGCCAAGAUGGAGGCAGAUGGACAGGAAGAAGAUCCCGAUCCCCCGAGGUUUUAAAUAGUCACAGAUGUCCAGACCUGGAUGUCAGGGAGCAGUGAGGAUGAGAAUUGAGCCACCUUGGGGAGGACAUACAUCCAGAACAAUCACCCAAGCCAGAGAGGACUUCAGAGGAGCACUACUCACUGUCCUGUUGUCUAAAACCAUCUGAGCUUCAGGGUUUGCGUCAUAGACACAUACUACCAGAGAGAAUAAAAUCCCUCUAAAGAUGUAAAACAAAGGCUCUGCAGAGCAGUCGUGGGCAAGAGGUGAGCUACCACUCAUUUCUCCACUCUAUUUAGUCUGGUGUUGCAGUUUACAUCACGGGAGAAAGAGGAAGGAAAGCUUGGGAAACAGAAGGCUCACAGACCUGCUGCCUUGGCAAGCCAUUUAGCUUCUCUGGGUUCCAGCCUAGCAUGGAACUCACAUGGAGCCCUGGAUGACCUCAAACUCACCGGCAAUCCUUCUGUCCCAGCUUCCCCCCACCCGGUUUCUACUCACGGUCACAUUAUCUUUACCAAAUUACAUUUUAAUUAUCAAAAGCAAGCAUUUAUAUCAUCUGCAAUAGAUGACUGUAUUUGCCUUGACCACCAAGACAAGAACUCCAGGUAUGCAGUCUAUUGGCAAGGAUGGAGCUACUGAGAUGAAAAUACAUCAGGAAUAUCAUGUGUGGUGCUGAGACUACGAGAAAGAUGCUUUCAUCGUGACCAGAACCUCACUUUUGUGAAGGACUUCCACUGUUCCUCUGUAUUUGGUGAUGGUACUAAUUAAAAUAAAGUCAAUACAAAGGCCAGCUUUCUGGAAGGCGAUACAGACCUUGAGUACCCACGAUCUCCAUGUGCAGGUGAGCCAGACCACUCGCUAUGGAAAGCGCCAGCUUGACCAUUCCAGCCACAGUCACUAUGUUUCUGUUCAAAUAGUCAUACAAGGAGCCCUGCUCGUGAUACUCUGACACAAGCCAGAGUUGUGUCCAAGUUCCAUUAUCUGUUGAGAGAACAUCAUUUGUUGUUGUAAAUGCUGAGGAAGAAAAAGAGCACUUUUUCAACUCUUGUAGAUGUGGGUACCAUGGGAGCUUCCAUUGAAACAGGAAGUUGUGUAAGGUAGUUCUAAUAAAUGAGUGAUCCUUCUCCUGUAUGCAUUCAUCAGUAGUUGCUGGUGAUAGUUAGAGCAGUGCAGGGCAACCUUCUGAGAGAGGCACUGUGGGAGAAACUUCCGAGAGGCAACUUUGGCCUCAGGAUGGCCUUGCACAUUACUAUUAAGCAUUUAAGAACGAUUAAGGCAAUAAAUCCGAAGAAAUUUACACCAUAAUUACUACCAUGGGAGUGCUGACAUUCUAACAAUGUCCGAGAAAUUUGCCUAAAAAAAUAGGAAGUCAUGCAUUCCAAACAGUUUUAUAAAGAGCCAAGAUGUUGCUAGAUAUUCUCAGAUAGCAUGCCCAUUUAAACAAAAACUAGCCUGUCAUAUUUUUUAAAAAGCUGUUUAAGCAGACUAGAAGUUAGCUUAGGGUUCCAACCGUUAGAUGUAGCUCUCUAAACAGUGUCUGUGACAGUUUGGGCAACCCUGACCAGUCCCGAGAUUCCUGAGCAGUUUGCUUGGAUGCUGCCCAGCCAGGUGCUACAUGUUCAGGAGCAGGAGGUUGUCCGAAGAUCUCAUUUCCACAACCAGGCAGUGAGAAAUUUUCACGACUUACAAAAGCUCACUAACUCUAAAGCUCACUAACAAGCUCCAGACAGUAAACCCACCCUCGGACUCCCCGCUGAUCCCAUUCGUAGGCAUUGUCUCUCACAAGGGCUAUAAGUUAAAAGUGUGACUGUUAUACGAAAUAAAUAAUUUGUGAAAGUGAUAUCAGAGACCGUGUAGGAUCUGUACAACUGACUGACAAGUAAGGAUAUGCCCAAGGCAAUCCAGUUGCAUGCAAGGAAACAAGAAUGGCCUCUUUAGGGCACUAGCUUUAAACUAGUUCAUCAAGACGAGCUGUAGGGCUGCUUCCUGCUGCACUAAUAUCACUGCUGGGUAACCUGACCAGGAAAUAGCUCAGCUCAACAUUGGCAGGGGUUUGGAAAGUGGGUCCUUAGCUGUGUAACAAAAUGUCUAGUUUUCAAAACUCUUGGAGAUAGUGUUAAAGUAUAUGUCCUUAAGAAGUUGGAAAGAAGGACUGGAGAAAUGGCUCAGCAGUUAAGAGCAUGGGCUGCUCUUCCACAGGACCCAGGUUCAAUUCCCAGCAUCCACAUAGUGGCUCACAAUAAAUUGUAGCUCCAAUUCCAGAGGAUCCAGUGUCCUCUUCUGGCCUCACUGGGCACUAGGCACAGACAUGCAUGCAGACAAACUACCCAAACACUGAAAUAAUAAUCAUAAUCAUAAUCAUAAUAGAUAGAUAGAUAGAUAGAUAGAUAGAUAGAUAGAUAGAUAGAUAGAUAGAUAGAACCUGUGAAGAACUUUCUGUCUUAGCUCAGCUCUCCUUCACUCUCUCAACAAAUCCUAACUAGAAAACUAAAUUAUAAUCAAAAUAUGCAAAACUGUUAAAGAUCUCUUUUUCCAUCUAAUUAAUAAGAAAUGCCAAAUUAUUAUUUCCAUUCUUAAUAUUAACAGUGAUAUUAUUACAAUAUAUUAUAUAUUAUUUUCAUAUUACAUAAUAUAUAACAUAUAACAUAAUAUAAUAUAUUGUUGAUAUUACUACUAUUAAUAUUAAUAAUGAGUAUAAAAUAUUAUCAUGUUUCUAUUAGACAAAAGUGGAGGGUUUUUUUUUAAUUUUCCAGGAAAUAGUAAAUGUGUAAAAUUCACACAUAAUUUAGUUUAAACACUUUUGCUUUUUUUAUGAGAAUGUAACUGUGGCUGCAUCAAAGUUCUUCAUUAUAUUAAAAUUAUUAAAGUUCCAGUUUGAAACCUG
rnacentral:lncRNA from 1 species